rnacentral:rRNA from 1 species
GAUGAACGCUAGCGGGAGGCCUAACACAUGCAAGCCGAGCGGUAUUGUUUCUUCGGAAAUGAGAGAGCGGCGUACGGGUGCGGAACACGUGUGCAACCUGCCUUUAUCUGGGGGAUAGCCUUUCGAAAGGAAGAUUAAUACUCCAUAACAUAUUGAUUGGCAUCAAUUAAUAUUGAAAGCUCCGGCGGAUAGAGAUGGGCACGCGCCAGAUUAGCUAGUUGGUGAGGUAACGGCUCACCAAGGCGAUGAUCUUUAGGGGGCCUGAGAGGGUGAUCCCCCACACUUGUACGGAGACACGGACCAGACUCCUACGGGAGGCAGCAGUGAGGAAUAUUGGUCAAUGGGUGCAAGCCUGAACCAGCCAUCCCGCGUGAAGGACGACUGCCCUAUGGGUUGUAAACUUCUUUUGUAUAGGGAUAAACCUACCCUCGUGAGGGUAGCUGAAGGUACUAUACGAAUAAGCACCGGCUAACUCCGUGCCAGCAGCCGCAGUAAAAC